rnacentral:lncRNA from 1 species
GCUUCAAAACUUCUUUUCCUUGGAGCUUAGAGUCACAGUUGUCACUCCUCUAAUGGCUUACAAACACCUACUAUCAAGAAGAUGAUUUGAGAGAGGGCGAGAGGUGAGAAAUCGGCUCUAGGGUUUCCUCAUGCAUAGAGUGGCCGAUUUCUCCAACCCUAAGGGUCUAUUUAUACUAUGAGCUCCUAGGGUUUUACCUUAAACCCUAAUUGGAUAACAUAGCCUCAAAGCAAUCCAAAGAUCCUUCUAGAUAAGGCCUUGGACGAUUUCUAGGAUAUCCAUAUCCUUAAAAUCGUCCCUUCCCAUAUCCAUAAGGAUUAAUAGCCUAAAACACAACUAUCACACAUUGACAGUUUAUGCCCCUUUAUUUAAUUAAUCUCUUUAAGUCACCAAAUUAAUUCCUAAUUGAUUUAUGACUUAUAUCAAUCAAAUAAUAUUAUUAUUCCUUUAACAUAUUAUUCUUAUAAUACAUUAAUAAUAAUAUCUCUUCUCUCUAAAUAAAUCACCUUGUCAAGUUGCUAUGGUGAAGGCAACCCAAAAGGACCAUGCACAACCAGGUCAAGUACUUACCAAAUAUAGUUACGGCCUUAGACACUAAUCCAACAGUCUCCCACUUGGAUAAGUCUAGUAACUAUAAAUGCAAACACAAUCCGAUUAGCAAUCGUAGCUCUCAAAGACGCUGUCAACUCUGAUCUCAUCAGUAACCUGUCCUUUAGAUAAGGGAUCAUACAGUCCUCUGUUUAGAUAUUGUGCGGACAAUCUCAUGGAACUAAUUGUCCAGCAGUUGGUUUCUCGAUCUCAGAUUUAUUUGAGAUAGAACUUAAAUGAACACAUCAAUUCAGUCCUGACUGAGCCCGACACAUAAGUCAAAUCAAAUCAUCGAGCGACCGUGAUAUCGCUUUUACCCUCUUAGGAUAGAAGUAACAGAUAAACUUCGACUUAUAUGCAUUUACUUAUCCACCAAUCAAUUAUACACAACAAUGUGUUUUAUAACAUCAAUUUACUGAUGCAGUUUCACAUUAUCAAUGCACAACCAAUUAAUAAAUAAUAAACCAUAUAUUUAGGUUUUAAGACCAUAUGAUAUUAUCGUCUUGCGAUCACUUUUGUCACAUUCCAUAAAGUGAUUCCAGCAAGCACGGGUUUAUUCCAAUGCUUAAAACUUGUUCAUAAGCACUCAUGAAUGUUGUAGCAAACCUUUGCUAUGUCUAAUACCAUUUAGACAAUCUACACACCAGUUCAUGAAAAUAUUCAUUUAUAUCUACUUCCAACACAUGAACGAUUGUGGACUAUUUGAAUAAUUCGAUUAUUCUUAACAAAGUUAAUUAUUUUGGAAGUAAAAACAUGCAAAGUGAAACAAUAGUUAAACAAUUAACAUAAGACAGUAACCUUACUUAUAAAUAAUACUUCUUUAUUUAAUCAUCAAAUGUCAAAUACAUUUAUCUAUUAUAUGUUUCUAAAACUAUCUAAUCUAAACUAAUAUCAUCCUUAAGUCCAAUGCUCCUAGCGUGCUGCAAGUGCUUAACCCUACUCAGUGCCUUCGUAAGCGGAUUUGUUGGGUUAUCUUCUGAUGAUAUCCUCUUAACCACGAGGUGUCCUUCUUCUACUCGAUGUCUAAUAAAGUGAUAUUUUCUGUCGAUAUGCCGAGAUCUACCAUGAUCCCUUGGUUCCUUGGUCAAGGAAACCGCUCCUUCAUUAUCACAUAAAAUUUCCAUAGGCUCCUUUAUGGCAGGCACAACUCCAAGGUCACCAAUGAAGUUCUUCAACCAUAUCGCCUCCUUUAACGCUUCGCUCGCUGCAAUAUACUCUGAUUUGCACGUUGAAUCAGCUAUAGUUUCCUGCUUGGAACUUUUCCAAGUCACUGCUCCUCCAUUUAGGGUAAAGACCCAGCUCGACUGCGAACGGUAGUUGUCCCUGUCGGUCUGGAAAUUGGCGUCACUAUACCCUCGCACCUUUAAGUCAUCAUUCCCUCCGAGGACUAGAAACCAUUCCUUGGUUCUCUGAAGGUACUUAAGGAUAUUCUUAACCGCAAUCCAAUGAGCUCUGCCAGGGUUCCCUUGAUAUCUACUGACCCUACUCAAAGCAAAGGCCAUAUCAGGGCGAGUACAAGUCAUAGCGUACAUGAUUAAGCCAACUACAGAAUCGUAAGGUACUCGGCUCAUCUCAGCUAUCUUGGCUUUAAUACUUGGACUUUGAGUCUUACUCAAGUUGGCAUUACUUUGUAUCGGUAGUUCUCCCUUCUUCGAGUUUUCCAUACUAAAACGUUUUAGUACUUUAUCUAGGUAAGUAUUCUGACUAAGUCCUAUUACUCUCUUACUUCGUUCUCUCAUUAUCCAUAUUCCCAAAAUAUAGGAAGCCUCUCCGAGGUCCUUCAUAGCGAAACACUUCCCGAGCCAGGACUUAACUUCCUACAAAGUCGGGAUGUCGUUUCCCAUUAGCAGUAUGUCAUCGACCUACAAAACGAGAAAGCUAACUAUACUCCCACUGGCUUUGACAUAUAUACACGAUUCAUCUUCGCUUUGUACAAAUCCAAACUCUUUGACUUUCUCAUCAAAGCAAAGAUUCCAUCUGCGAGAUGCUUGCUUAAUUCCAUAAAUGGACUUUUCAAGCUUGCACACUCUAUUGGGAUGCUUGGCAUCGACAAAACCCUCUGGCUGAGCCAUGUAAACAUCCUCAGCCAACUUUCCGUUAAGGAAAGCGGUCUUGACAUCCAUUUGCCAAAUCUCAUAAUCAUGAAAUGCGGCAAUUGCUAACAUCACUCUAAUAGAUUUAAUCUUCGCAACUGGUGAGAAGGUCUCAUCAUAGUCAACUCCGGGAGUUUGAGUAAAGCCCUUCGCGACCAAUCGCGCUUUAUAUGUGUGUACGUUCCCAUCCACGUCGGUCUUCUUCUUGAAGAUCCAUUUGCACCCAACGGUCUUACGUCCGGGCACAUAAUCAACCAAAUUCCAAACUUGGUUAUCAUACAUGGAUUGGAUCUCGCUAUCCAUUGCCUCUUUCCAUUUCGCAGACUCUGGGCCUGCCAUGGCUUCCUUAUAGCUAUUAGGUUCAUCAAGAUUUAUUAGUGUACCAUCACUAAUAUACGUGUCCCCUUCGGUAGUAAUAUGAAAACCAUAAAACUGGGGUUGAACUCUAACUCUAUCGGAACGUCUAAGAGGUAAGGAUUCGUCAAUCGGUUCAACCGGAGUUUCCUCCUCGGGUUGAGUGCCAGCGGUAGAGGUUCCUUCAUCUAUCGACUCUUGAAUCUCUUCAAGUUCGAUUUGCCUCCCACUGUCUCCUUGGCUUAUGAGUUCUCGCUCUCGGAAAACUCCUCUCCUCGCAACGAAGACAACAUUGUCCUUCGGUCUAUAGAAGAGAUAUCCAAAGGAUGUCUACGGGUAGCCGAUGAAAAUACAUCGCUCACUACGAGGUUCGAGCUUGUCGUGAGUCUCUCGUCUUACGAAAACCUCACAGCCCCAAAUCUUGAUAUGUGCCAACAAAGGAGCCUUCCUUGUCCACAUCUCGUGAGGUGUUUUGGCAACCUUCUUUAUAGGGACUUGGUUAAGGAUAUGGGUGGCAGUCUAUAAGGUAUACCCCCAGAAUGAGAUAGGUAGUGAAGCACGACUCAUCAUAGAACGGACCAUGUCUAACAAGGUUCAAUUACGCCUUUCUGCCACACCAUUCAACUGCGGUGUCCUAGGAGGCGUCAAUUGUGAAACUAUUCCACACUCCUUGAGAUAAUCGUGGAAUUCAAGACUUAGGUACUCUCCUCCUCGAUCGGAUCGAAGCAUCUUGAUUUUCCUGCCCAAUUGAUUCUCCACUUCAUUCUUGAACUCUUUGAACUUUUCAAACGUUUCUGACUUUUGCUUGAUUAAGUAGAUAUACCCAUAUCUACUAUAGUCAUCGGUAAAAGUCACAUAGAAGCGGUUCCCAUCCUUCGUGGUUGAUCUAAACGGUCCACAUACAUCGGUAUGUAUUAGGUCCAAUAGACCCUCGCCCCUUUCACAUGUACUCGUGAAGGGUGACUUAGUCAUCUUUCCAAGUAAACAAGACUCGCAUGUGUCAUCUUCCCUAAGGUCGAAUGACUCCAACACUCCAUCCUUUUGGAGUUGGGCUAUGCGCUUCUUGUUGACAUGUCCAAGACGACAAUGCCACAAGGAUGCUUUAUCCAUACUAUUGGAAGAAUCCAUACACAACACAUCAUUUCCUAGGUUAUCUACAACCAUAACAGUUUCAUAAAUUCCAUUACAAGGCAUUGCUUCAAAAUAUAAAACACCAUUUAGAUAAGCAUAAAUCGAACCAUUCUCAUUAUUAAACGAAUAUCUAAAUCCUUGUCUAAACAAACCAUGAAAAGAAAUGAUGUUUCUUGCCAUAUCUGGCGAGUAGCAACAAUUAUUUAAAUCUAAAUUUAAUCCAUUACUAAGCACUAAAGAAUACACUCCAAUCUUGGUAACAGGCGACGAUCUUCUGUUCCCCAUGAUUAGAUUUAUUCUUCCAAGCUCCACAUCCCUAUUUCUUCCUAGUCCCUGCAAAUCAGAACAAAUGUGGUAACCACAUCCUGUAUCAAGAACCCAAGAAAUAGCAUGAGAUGAAUCAUUAGAUUUAAUUGUGUAUAUACCUGCAAAAGAUGGCUUGAUCUUUCCAUCCUUGAUGGCUUGCAGAUAUUCCGGGCAGCUUCUCUUCCAAUGCCCUAUUUUGUGGCAAUGAUGGCACUCUGCCUCCUUUGGGUUAGGGUUGGGCUUAGCAGGAUCAACCUUGGUCCCACUAGAAGAGGAACCAUCUCGGGACUUUCCCUUGCAGUGGCUCUUAGACGGAGCCUUCCUGUUCUGGCCCCUUCCCUGCCCAAUAACCAAAACAGGAGCAGCGGUUGGAUUGGGAGUUGGUGCAACAUACUUGUCCUUGAGGUUGCUCUCAGCAGUCCUUAGUAGCUCUUGGAGUUUGCUUAGUGUGACCUCUUCCUUGUUCAUGUGGUAGGUCAUCCUAAAUUGGUUGUAGCAUGAGGGAAAGGAGGGAAGAACAAUGUCGAUAGACAAAUCUUCCCCACAGUUGACAUUCAACUUGAGAAGACGAUCAACAUACCUUUGCCUCUUUUGCAAGUGCACAGUUAGAGACUCUCCACUUCCCGUUUUAGCAGUGAUCAUAUUCGUUAUGAUCUCAUAGCGCUCUUGCCUCGCGCUUUGGUGAUAUCUCUCCAUCAAGUCUAGAUGCAUCUCAUAAGGAUACAUGUCCUCAUAGGAAUUUUGGAAUUCGGGGUUCAUUGUGGCUAUCAUGAUGCAAUGGACCUUCGUUGCAUCACAUUCAUGGGUCUCAAAGAUAGCCAUCUCUUCGAUAGUAGCGAUUUCUGGGUUGACCUUCUCGAGCUUUUCGUCGUGGACAUACUCUUUGUCCUCAUAGCAUGCGAUCGUGCGAAUGUAUCUUAUCCAUUCGCUAAAGUUUGAUCCAUCAAAAGUCACUUUUUGACAAAGACUCAUUAACGUGAAUGAGUUAGCAGCAACGUUGUUAGCGUCGAUAUAUACAAAUAGAAAGGACAAAGUUUUAUUAGUAUUGAAUCCCUAAUUAAACACCCAAAAUGAAAAAUUAGGGCAAGGACCCAACAACAUUAUUCACAUAUUAGAAAAGGGAUGUCGUAAUCCAACAUGCAAAUAAUUUUGGAGGUAAGUGAAUGACGAUUCACUAAUUCUUCACCAUGAAAACAUAACCUUAAGUUUUAAAUGCAUUGAGAAUUCCUAGGUUUUCUUGGAGAUUCAUUGAACUUUUCAAUGACAUGUUUAAAUCUCGAUAUACCCCUCUCGUUUGUGACUGGGAUACCGAGGAUCACAAAGUGGGUGUGAAUAACCAUGCAAAUCUACAUGGUGCCUUCUUUGUUAUAAUCACCUAUUUGAUGUGUCGGUAAACCACACACGCUCCACCGAAUUAUGACACACAAAGAAUCACCCUUUUCCACCUUUUCUUAGAACCAAUUAGUGUGCCGGUAAACCACACAUGCUCCACUAACUUCUUAGCAAGGGUGCAAAGUGUAAUUUCAUGGGAUUGCAUCAAUUCACUUUUGCCUAAAGUAACUAGGAUUGGGAAUUUGGAAAAACAUGUAGUUACUUUAUAUUUUAACAUUAUACUUUUAAUGAGAAGAGAGAGUUGCCUUAUCCUACCCGUUCGGCUAACGACCCUCCACCAGUCAAGUAAGCAGUGGGUGUGAGUGUACACCCAUUAAGCGCCAUUUUAUAGGCAGCAACCUUAUACCCACCUUAUAGAUCAGCUUCGUGAAUGAGGCCUACUAACGGUAAGACUAGCAUUUUAAUUAUACUUAUAUAUAUUCAUUAAGCUUUAAUAAUAUAAUAGUAUAGGGUUGAAUUUUAAACUUGUAAAACUCUAGGGGUUGAAAUUUAAAUUAUUCUAAAUUAAACUUUUAAUCACAAAAUUUAAAUCUCAUAACUUCGGGACAAAUUUUGAACUCUUCAAAACUAAAGGGAUCAAAUAACAAAUAAUUCAAAUAACUAAUUUCAUAAUUAUCUAUAUUUGACCUAAUCCAAUUUUAGUCAUUAGAUAAUUACCAAAUAAUUUUAAAUAGUCCAUAUUUAUCAUAUAAAUAACCAAUAUUUAAAAGAUUUGAAAUUAUUUAUUGUUAUGUUAAGGAUAAUCAUAAAAUUAAGUCAAAAUUCAGAUUUUAACAUAACAAAACGAUUUAGGUAUCAAAUCCAAGACAAAACAGCAACAAAAUCCCGAAAUAUCCUCUGACUGACGCUCGGACUCGCUGAGUAGGGCCAACUCGUCGAGUCCAGACACUGACUCGCCGAGUUGGGUCGGGUAGAGGCCAAGAAAAAUGAUUUUCAGCAAGCAAAGUAGUUAAGCAUCAUAUUCAAUUGAAACCAAUCAAGGCUCUGAUACCACUAAUGGGUUUGAGCCAUAAUAACUUUCCUAUGUGCACAUGCAAACCCUAAUGCUUGGAUCUAGGUUUCUCUAAUUGAACAUGCUUUGUAUCCAAGACUUUGAAUCGUAUAUCUAAUGUAAACAAACAAUUCAUAACAUAUGAAAUCAAAUCUAGAAGAAUACCUUGAGUUACUUGCUUGAAAACUUCUUUUCCUUGGAGAUUAGAGUCAUAAUUGUCACUCCUCUAAUGGCUUACAAACACCUACUAGCAAGAAGAUGAUUUGAGAGAGGGAGAGAGGUGAGAAAUCGGCUCUAGGGUUUCCUCAUGCAUAGAGUGGCCGAUUUCUCCAACCCUAAGGGUCUAUUUAUACUAUGAGCUCCUAGGGUUUUACCUUAAACCCUAAUUGGAUAACAUAGCCUCAAAGCAAUCCAAAGAUCCUUCUAGAUAAGGCCUUGGACGAUUUCGAGGAUAUCCAUAUCCUUAAAAUCGUCCCUUCCCAUAUCCAUAAGGAUUCAUAGCCUAAAACACAACUAUCACACAUUGACAGUUUAUGCCCCUUUAUUCAAUUAAUCUCUUU